rnacentral:rRNA from 1 species
GGCUUAGAGUUUGAUCCUGGCUCAGAUUGACCGCUGGCGGUAUGCUUUACACAUGCAAGUCGAACGGCAGCACGGGGCAACCUGGUGGCGAGUGGCGAACGGGUGAGUAACAUAUCGGAACAUGUCCGGAAGUGGGGGAUAACGUACCGAAAGGUACGCUAAUACCGCAUAUGCCCUGAGGGGGAAAGGCGGGGAUCGCAAGACCUGUCGCUUUCGGAGUGGCCGAUAUCGGAUUAGCUAGAUGGCGAGGUAAAGGCUCACCAUGGCGACGAUCCGUAGCUGGUCUGAGAGGACGACCAGCCACACUGGGACUGAGACACGGCCCAGACUCCUACGGGAGGCAGCAGUGGGGAAUUUUGGACAAUGGGCGCAAGCCUGAUCCAUGCCAUACCGCGUGAGUGAAGAAGGCCUUCGGGUUGUAAAGCUCUUUCGGCAGGAAAGAAAUCGCACUUACUAAUAGUUAGUGUGCG